GCAGGGAUUUGGGGUGAAGACCUUUGGCAAAAUAGGCUAGCCUGUGGUUACUAAGCAAGCAAAUUUCCUCAUAGCGUCCCGUGCUGGAACAAACUGGGGCUCCCAACCAUUGUCCAGCCUCUGUGCCCGUAUGCUGCUGACAUUGAAGUGGGUCACACAGUG